rnacentral:rRNA from 1 species
GAUGAACGCUGGCGGCGUGCCUAAUACAUGCAAGUCGAGCGAACAGACGAGGAGCUUGCUCCUCUGACGUUAGCGGCGGACGGGUGAGUAACACGUGGAUAACCUACCUAUAAGACUGGGAUAACUUCGGGAAACCGGAGCUAAUACCGGAUAAUAUAUUGAACCGCAUGGUUCAAUAGUGAAAGACGGUUUUGCUGUCACUUAUAGAUGGAUCCGCGCCGCAUUAGCUAGUUGGUAAGGUAACGGCUUACCAAGGCGACGAUGCGUAGCCGACCUGAGAGGGUGAUCGGCCACACUGGAACUGAGACACGGUCCAGACUCCUACGGGAGGCAGCAGUGGGGAAUCUUGCGCAAUGGGCGAAAGCCUGACGGAGCAAGGCCGCGUGAGUGAUGAAGGUCUUCGGAUCGUAAAACUCUGUUAUUAGGGAAGAACAAAUGUGUAAGUAACUAUGCACGUCUUGACGGUACCUAAUCAGAAAGCCACGGCUAACUACGUG